rnacentral:lncRNA from 1 species
GUAGAGAUGGAGUUUUGCCAUGUUGCCCGGGCUGGUCUUGAACUCCUGAGCUCAAGCAAUCCUCCCGUCUUGGCCUCACAAAGUGCUGGGAUUACAGGUGUCAGCCACCAUGCCCGGCCCAUUUCUAUUGUUUUAAGCCAUCAAGUUUGGGUGGCAUCAUUUGUCACAGCUGCCACAGGAUACUAACACACCCAGAGACAGAAGACGGGAGGACAUAACUGCAUUAACACUGAGCUAGGAUCUGCACGCCUCAGGACUCUGCUCCCAGGACUACGGACCUCUGCGCCGAGUCAGAAGAACAGUUUCAGGAACCCGCUUGGAUAGUAGGGAGUGGAAAUGACCCCAGGUGACUGCAGCGGGACUCCUGGAAGGCAGAUAUUGGGAUGGGCUGACUGUGACUCUGCAUUAACCUCUUAUGAACCAGGGUGGAGACCACCCCAUCAGCUGCUUUCCAGAGCUAGGCUCUCACAGCUCAGCAGCCUGCUCACUGUUCACCAUGUGUCUCCUAUGUGGCAGCUUCUGGGG